rnacentral:rRNA from 1 species
CGUUCCCGGGCCUUGUACACACCGCCCGUCACGUCACGAAAGUCAGCAACACCCGAAGCCGGUGGCCUAACCCGUAUGGGAGGGAGCCGUCUAAGGUGGGGUCGGCGAUUGGGACG